GACGAACGCUGGCGGCGUGCUUAACACAUGCAAGUCGAACGGAAAGGCCCGCUUGCGGGUACUCGAGUGGCGAACGGGUGAGUAACACGUGGGCAACCUGCCCUCAGCUUUGGGAUAACCCCCGGAAACGGGUGCUAAUACCGAAUAUUGACUUCUUGCCGCAUGGUGGGUGGUUGAAAGUUUUUCGGCUGAGGAUGGGCCCGCGGCCUAUCAGCUUGUUGGUGGGGUAAUGGCCUACCAAGGCGACGACGGGUAGCCGGCCUGAGAGGGCGACCGGCCACACUGGAACUGAGACACGGUCCAGACUCCUACGGGAGGCAGCAGUGGGGAAUAUUGCGCAAUGGGCGAAAGCCUGACGCAGCGACGCCGCGUGAGGGA
rnacentral:rRNA from 1 species